CCUACGGGGGGCUGCAGUGGGGAAUCUUGGGCAAUGGAGGAAACUCUGACCCAGCAACGCCGCGUGAAUGAUGAAGGUCUUCGGAUUGUAAAGUUCUUUUCUAAGGGAAGAAGAAAGUGACGGUACAUUAUGAAUAAGCCUCGUCUAACUACGUGCCAGCAGCAGUGGUAAUACGUAGGAGGCGAGCGUUAUCCGGAAUGACUGGGCGUAAAGGGUGCGUAGGUGGUUUGGCAAGUUAGUAGCGUAACUCCAAGGCUCAACCCUGGGACUACUACUAAAACUGUUGGGCUUGAGUGCAGGAGGGGCAGGCGGAAUUCCUGGUGUAGCGGUGGAAUGCGUAGAUAUUAGGAGGAACACCAGUGGCGAAGGCGGCUUGCUGGACUGUAACUGACGCUGAGGCACGAAAGCGUGGGGAGCAAACAGGAUUAGAUACCCUAGUAGUC
rnacentral:rRNA from 1 species